rnacentral:lncRNA from 1 species
AUAAUUCAUCAGUGUCCCUCAUUAAGGAAAGAAAUAAAAGCACUUCCUCUUGGAGUUGUUUAACCAAGAGGGUAGUUAUUCUACUUCAUACUUCCUGUGUCUUCCGGGCAUCCUCUAUUUCUCGAGUCUGAAUCUGUACCUGCCUGAAGGGCUAUCUUGUGGACUCUGUCCCAGUGUUUGUCUCUUGCAUGACUGUGUGUGGUUUUCUUUCCUCUGUGUGUUUUUUUCUUCUUCUGUGUGGUUGUGUGAGCUGUGUGUGUCUGUUGUAUCAUUUGCAUAUGUCCUUAACAAAGAGCUCUGCUCUGUAUUUAUUGAAAUGUACCGGAAGCAUCACAUGAGGGAGGAAGGAAUGGGAAAUUUUUAAGAAAUCUUUGACAGAGUUUUACAGGGGAUUAAGUCACUGACUCCAACAGAUCCCGACUCAUCUAGAUAACAAACACCAUUGUUUAUCACCAAGUUGCUUGCAACCUUUUUGUAGAUUUUAGGAAGCUGUUUUUAACUUUGGUAUUUGCUGCUCUCAGGAAGUGAUAGACAUGCAUUACUCUGGGUCAGGGGCAUGGAAGAAGAGUACAUAACUAUUCCAGCUGUACCUUAGCUUAGGUUGUAAAAGCUGAUUACAUGGGAAAUCCAAGACAAGUAAGGUUGGUUGUUACAUUGUUCUCUUAAAGGCAGGUAAACAAUUUGUGUACACAGUAGGUUAGCAGUCUUAAGUCUUGAGUGACUUCAAGAUGUAUUAUUAACUCUGGGUGUGAGUAAAAGUUUGCCUCUUAGAUAGAAGAGCAAUUUUCAGAAUGUUGCAUUGCUACACUCCAUGAUUUGACAAACAUUUGGAAAGUAUUUUCUGUAUCCUGCUGGCUGUGGAAGUUUGUUUUCUGCAAGAAGUUGUUGAGAUACUUGAAGAAGUGAUAGUUGGUGAAUGAAAGAUCAGGUGAAUAUGGUGGAUCAUAUAAAACUUUGUAGCCCAAUUUGUUGAACUUUUGAAGUAUUGGUUGUGCGAUGUGCAGUCAGGUGCUACUGCGAAGAAAAAAAUGGCCCCUUUCUGUUGGCCAUGCUGGCUGCAAGUGUUGUAUUUUUUGAUGCAUAUCAUUGAUUUGUUGAGCCCACAUCUCGGUUGUAAGGAUUUUUUUCCAGGAUUCAGAAAGCUGUAAUGGACCAUAACCUCUUGGCUUUGGGCAUUACUUUGGAGCUUUUUUGUUCAACCAUGAAGCUGGUCAUCAUGGUUGUUGUACAUAGUCCCAUUUGCAUUUCACAGUCAGGUGGAGAAAUGGAACAGUGUUGUAUAGACUAAGAGAGGAGAGUAGUUCAAAAUAAUGGUCUUUGGACUUUUCAUCAGCACAUUAAUGAAUGUUUCCAACUUGUCUCAGAUGCAGGAUGACUUGGAUGCUCCAGGUCUACAUUGAGUCCCUAUGGCAGCUUCUCAGGUAGUUGUAAGAGGUGCUUAGAUAAUUGUUCUCAUUUGGCUUUCCCAGCAUCCCAUGGCCAGUUAUUUCAUUCCUUCCAGAUUCCAUCUCCUUUGCAAAACUUGUUGAACCUCCACUUCCUGGUUCACUCUUAAGCAGUUACUAGGUUAAAUGUGUGUUGAGGUUUCCAGCUGUCUUUGUUACUUUAUGACCCAUUUUGAACUUGAAUAAGAAAAUCUCUUGAAUAUGCAUUUUGCCUAACAUCGUUUCAUGUAGUACAGAAUAAAUCCAAAACAGCAAGGAGUAGUAAGUCAUAGGAAAAGACUUAAAGCAAGAAAUACACAUUAAAUUGAUGCAUAACAGAACCACAUUUAUUUAACAAUGUGUUCCAGGAAUAAGGGACAAAUUUCAACAAUGUAAAAACUGAAAUUACCUUUGUAUCAACCUAAUACUUGUGAUACUUUGUAUGACUAGAGAUAGACUGUAUCUGUUCUGUGAUUGACUUGUUUUGCUUAGUAUAAUGUCCUUGAGGUUCAUCUGUUGCCUCCAUGUUCUCUUAAAGGCAGGUAAGCAGUUUGGGUACAUAAUAGGUCUUAAAUGGUCUCCCCCCACCACCCUCCCAAAACCUUCACCCCUACUUCCCACAGUGUGCUGAACUCUCACUUAAAGCAUUAAUCAAGAAAAUGCCUCACAGAUUUGCCUACAGCAAUCUGAUGGAGGCAAUAGUUUAAUUAAGGUUCAUUCAUUGUCAGGUCAUUAGCAAACACUGUUACCCCCUGAGCCAUCUUGCUGGUACUUGAACUAGUGUUUUAAACAAUUCAAAAUUAGUAGUGUAGUUCAAUAGUAAUGUACUUAGUGUACAUGAAGCCUCUUGCUUUAAUCUUUAGCACCAUUAAAAAAGAAAAUAGUUGAUAUAGCUAUGUCUUAUGGUUCAUACCUGUAAUCCAGCAUUUUUGAGGCUGUGGCAAGACUGUGGCAAGGCUGUGGCAAGUUUGAGGUUUACCUGGGCUACAUAGUGAGAUCCUAUCUCAAGAAACAAAACCUUAAAUGAGUACACAAAUUUAAAAGAAUAAAUUGGCUAGUUUGAGCUUAGUGGUAUUCAGUACUUGGGUAAUUUAUCAGCUAAAGAAGU